rnacentral:lncRNA from 1 species
ACCAUUAUAAAAUAUACAGUAGUUAAUCAUCAAUUUUCGAGUACGAAUAACACUCUUGUAAUAACGGAAUGAUGAAGUUUAGUAAAUGUCGAAAAUAUUUUGUUACAUCGUACUUAAAAGAAUAUUGUGAAAAUUUCGUAAGAACGCCAGUGGAGAACCAUCUGCCAAUCGCGCAUUGUUUAGCUAAGUCAUUUUCUAGACGACGCCGUGGUGUUAACAUCUGGUCCGGACUCCGGGGUGUUGGUCGUGCCGUCAUUCUUCAUCCCAUCAAUAAACAUACUAAACCUU